rnacentral:lncRNA from 1 species
AUGCGGAAAAAUCUCCAAAUGUCAAAUUAAAUGGAAGUGAUGCUGAUAUUUUUAAUACAGCAAUAGUAUUAAAAGUUUUCCCUCCAUUGCGUACAUACCUAUCAUCCAAUACCGAAAUACAACACACAUUCUCUAACUCUUAUCCUUAUAUAAUUCAAGUUAGUAUCACAAGUACUUUCUCGUGACCAACUGAAAAUUUGAAGCAGCAAUCAUCAAUGAAAAUUUUGGAUUCUCUUCUCUUAAGCUUUUCCCUCUUCCUAUUAUCUUCUCUCUAUUAUCUUUGUCUUACUCUUUAUAUUCUUCAUCUUUCAUCCUUUUUCUUCUCUCGUUUUGUUCAUCUAAUGUUUCAUAAAUCAGGAUUCAGAACCUGAUAAAUACCUUAAAAGAUACAAUUGAUAUUGGGAGCCAAAAAUUCCUCGCUGCACCUUUUAACAUCUGAAAGGUGUUUAGUAUAUAACAUAUUUUAAAAUUUCAAAUAUCAACAAAUUAAUUAUAAAAGAAACUAGCCCAUUAACCAGUUUCCAACUCAAUUGCCCAGAGUUAGUGGCCAAUUCAAAGGCCACCAAAGUCUAGAUAUUUGUGUCGAAAACAAAACAUUGUUGGACUCCCUUUAACAAAUAUAAGAGAAUGCUGUUUAGUCUUCUAGCCCAGUGAUUUAAAAGGAAAAUUAAAAAAUGAAAACGAAGAAGUAAAGAAUACUGUUUUGUUAGACCAGUGAUUUGAAGAGAAAAUGUACCUAGCAACAGCUGCCACAUGUCAUUCAGCUGGCAAUAGCAUUCCACUUUCAAAUACCUAUGCCUCAUCUAUAACCCUCAUAAAACUACGUAAAUUUGCAAAAUAAUGAGGAAAACGAGUAAUUACAGUCUUCUCCUUAAUUUUUUUUUUCCUUAAGUGGCCAAGCCACUUUCCAAAUAAGGGUAUUGAGCCUAUGAGCAGAGGCUCACUUACCGAAAUGGUAGGAAGCAGGCAACCAUUCACUUAAAUAGAUAUGAAAUACCCAUAACUCUGCUGUAACUACACCUCAUUUUUUAUGAAACCUAUCCAUAAGGAAGUAUGAAUUACAGUAACUUUUCACAAUAGCCUGAUCCAUACAAAUGAAUAAAAGCAAUCUGUGGAAAAUUGUAACAGCAUUGCAAUCAAAGCAAGCAGAAAUGGGGCAAACUGGAAAAGAUGGAUUGAUGACUUACCGGCCAAAGAAGACAUACUGACUCACAAAUGCAUUAACUCUCAAAUCUGAGUGCUUUUCACUAUGUAAGCAAGAUAAAUAGUUCCCGUCAACAAACUGCAGACUCAGUUAAGUUGAUUGCCAGGGUUGAAUGCUCAUUCCUUUUAUCAGACAUCAUAUGGAUAAUCAGCUAUCGAACAAAUUUCAGCUAGCCAGCUAAACCUCCUAAAUUUUUAAGUGAGAAAAUAAGAUUCCAGAAGACUGAUGUAGCCAUUAUGCUUUGCGGCAAGAUACAUGCUCAGCCUAGCAGUUUUGAAGACAUGCCCGUUCUAGUAUAGUUUCAAACAGCUGAAUUCUGAAGUUCCAUAGGUAUACCAUGUAUGUUAUAAAAUGAUGAAUCAAAAAGUCCUGACGUAAAACAGAGUCAAACUUCAAGUAGAACAGACAUUAUAUUUUCUCAUCAGCGCUAUACUCUCAGCUAUGGUAGACCCAGCA